GGCAGAGAAUAGGGGUCGAAAACGGAUUCGAAAUCCGUUGAGUCAGCAAUGGCUCCUAGGGUUCAAAUCCCUAUCUCUCCGCCA
rnacentral:tRNA from 1 species